GACGAACGCUGGCGGCGUGCCUAAUACAUGCAAGUUGAGCGCUGAAGGUUGGUACUUGUACCGACUGGAUGAGCAGCGAACGGGUGAGUAACGCGUGGGGAAUCUGCUUUUGAGCGGGGGACAACAUUUGGAAACGAAUGCUAAUACCGCAUAAAAACUUUAAACACAAGUUUUAAGUUUGAAAGAUGCAAUUGCAUCACUCAUAGAUGAUCCCGCGUUGUAUUAGCUAGUUGGUGAGGUAAAGGCUCACCAAGGCGAUGAUACAUAGCCGACCUGAGAGGGUGAUCGGCCACAUUGGGACUGAGACACGGCCCAAACUCCUACGGGAGGCAGCAGUAGGGAAUCUUCGGCAAUGGACGAAAGUCUGACCGAGCAACGCCGCGUGAGUGAAGAAGGUUUUCGGAUCGUAAAACUCUGUUGGUAGAGAAGAACGUUGGUGAGAGUGGAAAGCUCAUCAAGUGACGGUAACUACCCAGAAAGGGACGGCUAACUACGUG
rnacentral:rRNA from 1 species